AGUGCUUGCACCGUGGAUGAGUGGCGAACGGGUGAGUAACACGUGGGUAAUCUGCCCUGCACUCUGGGAUAAGCCCUGGAAACGGGGUCUAAUACCGGAUAUGACAUCGUGCCGCAUGGUGUGGUGUGGAAAGCUCCGGCGGUGCAGGAUGAGCCCGCGGCCUAUCAGCUUGUUGGUGGGGUGAUGGCCUACCAAGGCGACGACGGGUAGCCGGCCUGAGAGGGUGACCGGCCACACUGGGACUGAGACACGGCCCAGACUCCUACGGGAGGCAGCAGUGGGGAAUCUUGCGCAAUGGGCGAAAGCCUGACGCAGCAACGCCGCGUGGGGGAUGACGGCCUUCGGGUUGUAAACCUCUUUCGACACCGACGAAGCCAUCUUCGGGUGGUGACGGUAGGUGUAGAAGAAGCACCGGCUAACUACGUGCCAGCAGCCGCGGUAAUACGUAGGGUGCGAGCGUUGUCCGGAUUUAUUGGGCGUAAAGAGCUCGUAGGCGGUUUGUCGCGUCUAUCGUGAAAACCGGGAGCUUAACUCCUGGCUUGCGGUGGAUACGGGCAGACUUGAGUUCGGUAGGGGAGACUGGAAUUCCUGGUGUAGCGGUGAAAUGCGCAGAUAUCAGGAGGAACACCGGUGGCGAAGGCGGGUCUCUGGGCCGAUACUGACGCUGAGGAGCGAAAGCGUGGGGAGCGAACAGGAUUAGAUACCCUGGUA
rnacentral:rRNA from 1 species